rnacentral:rRNA from 1 species
AUUGAACGCUGGCGGCAGGCCUAACACAUGCAAGUCGAGCGAGCGCCGGACGCGUGAGAAAUGUCUGGGAGACUGCCCGUUGGGGGGGGAGAACUCCCGGAAAAGCUAUAGCAUAUACCAUACCAUAUGAGAUGUCCAGAUUGGAUUAGCUAGUAGGUGGGGUAACGGCGCACCUCGGCGCCGAGCCCUAGCUGGUCUGAGAGGAUGACCAGUCACAUUGGAACUGAGACACGGUCCAGACGCCUACGGGAGGGAGCAGUGGGGAAUAUUGCACAAUGGGCGAAAGCCUGAUGCAGCCAUGCCGCGUGUGUGAAGAAGGCCUUCGGGUUGUAAAGCACUUUCAGCGGGGAGGCGUUACCCGCAGAAGAAGCACCGGCUAACUCCGUGCCAGCAGCCGCGGUAAUUC